CGAUGCCGCGUGUGUGACGAAGGCCUUCGGGUCGUAAAGCACUGUCAGGCGGGAAGAAGUCGUGCAUAUUAAGUAUGCACGUAGACGGUACCGCCGAAGGAAGCACCGGCUAACUCCGUGCCAGCAGCCGCGGUAAUACGGAGGAGGCAAGCGUUAUUCGGAAUUAUUGGGCGUAAAGCGUCCGCAGGGGGCUCAUCAAGUCUGCUGUCAAAGGUCGGAGCUCAACUCCGGUUCGGCAGUGGAAACUGGUGGGCUAGAGGGCGACAGGGGUAGAGGGAAUUCCCAGUGUAGCGGUGAAAUGCGUAGAGAUUGGGAAGAACACCGGUGGCGAAAGCGCUCUACUGGGUCGCACCUGACCCUCAGGGACGAAAGCUAAGGUAGCG
rnacentral:rRNA from 1 species